rnacentral:rRNA from 1 species
AAAGUGGAGCAAUCCAUGAGUAAAGUGGCGACCGGGUGAGUAACACGUGACUAACCUACCUCCGAGUGGGGAAUAACUCCGGGAAACCGGGGCUAAUACCGCAUAACAUCGCAAGAUCAAAGCAGCAAUGCGCUUGGAGAGGGGGUCGCGGCUGAUUAGCUAGUUGGCGGGGUAACGGCCCACCAAGGCGAAGAUCGGUAUCCGGCCUGAGAGGGCGCACGGACACACUGGAACUGAAACACGGUCCAGACUCCUACGGGAGGCAGCAGUGGGGAAUUUUGCGCAAUGGGGGAAACCCUGACGCAGCAACGCCGCGUGGAGGAUGAAGCCCUUUGGGGCGUAAACUCCUUUCGACCAAGACGAUAAUGACGGUACUGGUGGAAGAAGCACCGGCUAACUCUGUGCCAGCAGCCGCGGUAAUACAGAGGGUGCGAGCGUUGUUCGGAAUUAUUGGGCGUAAAGGGCGCGUAGGCGGUGCCACAAGUCACUUGUGAAAUCUCCGGGCUUAACUCGGAGCCUGCAGGCGAAACUGUGGUGCUGGAGUGUGGGAGAGGUGCGUGGAAUUCCCGGUGUAGCGGUGAAAUGCGUAGAUAUCGGGAGGAACACCUGUGGCGAAAGCGGCGCACUGGACCAUAACUGACGCUGAGGCGCGAAAGCUAGGGGAGCAAACAGGAUUAGAUACCCUGGUAGUCCUAGCCCUAAACGAUGAUUGCUUGGUGUAGCAGGUACCCAAUCCUGCUGUGCCGCAGCUAACGCGAUAAGCAAUCCGCCUGGGGAGUACGGUCGCAAGGCUGAAACUC